GCCAAACACGCGCUCUUGCAGGCAAUCACAGUCCCAUCUGAACCUCUCACUGCUAAACUAGGAUCACAAGCAGCAUUCACGUUAGCUGCACAGCUUGUAGAAGGGCAGCCAGUAGAACCUCCUUGCGGGGUUACCGAAAUUGGGAUGUUAAAGCCAUCAACAAGGCUUAUAUCGUAAUAAUCUUUCCCACCAUCACCGCUUAGAGUAAAUUCUGCCAAGGAUGCUGGUGGGAUCGCACCGGCUCCAUUGCAUUCUAUGACACCAGAGGCACAGUCAGCAGUAGCACAAACAAACUUUCCCGAGGCAUCUGUAGAGCAUUGCGUUCUGGCCCACAAGCGGCCAGACCAAUUGACAGGGACACUCAGCGAAGAUGAAGCACCCGUUGCCAAUGUGAAGCCAGUUGAAGAUAAAGACGGACCGCCAGCAGCCGUUAGAGUUCCUGGCCAGACUGUGUAUGGACAGUUGUUUUUGAAGUCGAAAGUCACAGAUUGAGCUCCUGCAUGCGUGCAAGAUUUAUUUUUGUUGAUAUCAAUAAUUAAAUCUUGGUCGAUUCAAAGAUAACAUAAUUCAAUAUUUAAAAUCUUGUAUUAAUUCAGUUAUUUUUCUUUUAAAAAUAUAACAUAACCCAGGUUUUUUUUUAA